AACACCCACUGAUGUCAGCAGGUGAUCAUGUUCCUUCUGCUCACCUAAAGAGGAGGAGGAGGGAGAUGAUCACAUGCUGACAUCAGUGGGUGUU